UUCAGGUCCCAAACCACUACCUGCUUUGCCACUCAUAUCCUCUUUUGUCUUUAGCUGAAGAUGGUAAGGUGAAGGCUUCCGCCAUCUUGAUUAAAACUCUGUGGCAGCCCUGCACUGAGCCAGUGUAUCAGCACCCUUUUUUUGGCAUUGUUUUCUUACUUCAUGUUUCUGUGCCAUAUUUUGGUAAUUCACACAAUGUUUCAAACUCUCCACCAGCAUAAAGAUUAUGACUUGAUGAAGGCUCAGAUGGUGGUUAGCAUUUUUUAGGAGUGAAACAUUUUUAAUAAAGUAUAUACAUGUGGUUUUAGACAUACCAUUGCACACUUGUAGACUGCAGUAUAGUGUGAACAUUGUUUUAUAUGUACUGGGAAACCAAAAAAUUGUGUAAUUUCUUUUAUAGUGAUAUUGGCUUCAUUGUGAUGGUCUUGAACCGAACUCACAAUAUCUCCAAGGUGUACCUGUAAUGGCACAAAAUUGUAGACUGUCAGGUAGUAAUCUAAUGAAUAAAUCCCUUUGAGUUCUGGAGUAGUUAGAUGUGAUGCCUUAUUUCCAACUCACUGCUCCUUUGGAUUUGAAAAAUGAAUAGGAGAAGAAAUUAGAGUAUGUGA